AACGAACGCUGGUGGCAUGCCUAACACAUGCAAGUCGAACGAGACCUUCGGGUCUAGUGGCGCACGGGUACGUAACGCGUGGGAACCUGCCCUUAGGUUCGGAAUAACUCCCCGAAAGGGGUGCUAAUACCGGAUAAUGUCUUCGGACCAAAGAUUUAUCGCCUUUGGAUGGGCCCGCGUUGGAUUAGCUAGUUGGUAGGGUAAAAGCCUACCAAGGCGACGAUCCAUAGCUGGUCUGAGAGGAUGAUCAGCCACACUGGGACUGAGACACGGCCCAGACUCCUACGGGAGGCAGCAGUGGGGAAUAUUGGACAAUGGGCGAAAGCCUGAUCCAGCAAUGCCGCGUGAGUGAUGAAGGCCUUAGGGUUGUAAAGCUCUUUUACCCGGGAUGAUAAUGACAGUACCGGGAGAAUAAGCUCCGGCUAACUCCGUG
rnacentral:rRNA from 1 species